rnacentral:rRNA from 1 species
GACGGAGGGUGCGAGCGUUAUCCGGAAUCACUGGGCGUAAAGCGUCUGUAGGUGGUGAUGCAAGUCACUGGUGCAAAACUCUGGCUCAACCGGAGGAAAGCCAGUGAAACUGCAUGACUAGAGUGUGGGAGAGGUAGAAGGAAUUCCCUGAGUAGCGGUGAAAUGCGUAGAUACAGGGAAGAACACCGGAGGCGAAAGCGUUCUACUGGAACACAACUGACACUGAGAGACCAAAGCUAGGGGAGCGAAUGGG